GAGCUAAAGCUUAGUUGCCUUUUUUUUAAUUUUAAGUCAGUCAUUUUCUGGGCCAUCCGAUCGCAUCAACAUCCCUGAAAUUUUGGUUGGCUUUUCUUUCUUUUUUUUUCCUUUUUGCUCGACAGCUUCGUUUUCCAUGUCUCGCCACUCCCUGGAUUCCUCACUCCCCUGGGUGGCUGGGUGCCUCACGCCGCCUCCGCCGCCGCCGUGGCCGCCGCUGCCCCUGCUACGCUCGAGCCGCCCCCCAUCCUUGCUACUGUGCCGCGCCGCCGUGCAUUAGCCGUUUCCGAUCGCUCGCUGACGUCCCUGCUGCGCCGUCGCUAUCCAGGCCACCCCUGCUGCUCCUCCAGUCCGAGUCUCCGGCUUCCGUCCCUGCUGCUCCUUCGCCGCCGAGCAGGUUAGUGGAGGAAAUUUGUGUUCGGUGGAUGUGAUUUUCAGCUGAGCAUGGAUUGCUUGUUCCAUGUUUUUGCUUGAAUUGAUCAGGAGGGUUGGUUCUGCAGCUAUUUAUGUUCAGUUGGGUUGUGCUCCCUCUCUAAUGGAAGUGAUUUUGGUGAAAUACAUGGUUGAUGUGUGUUGAUUAGGCUAUCAUUGCUUCAGUUUUGGUUCAAUGGCAGGAGCAGCUUGUGGUUGUCCAAAGUAUUGAUGCAUGUGUUCAUGAUAUGCUAUUUUUUGCAAUCGCAGUCAUGCUAAAUAUGUAAUGCAUUCUACUCUUCUAGACAUGGUGCGUCAAUCAUUUAGUACUGUCUCUGCUAUCGGCGGCAGAGUUUGCUCAUCCCUGUCCAACAUAAGAGGCGAGGGUUUUCGAUCCAUGCUCAUCGGCGCGGAUGUGGCAAUGCGAAGGCAGCAGAGAUGAGGUGUUUUCCAUCUCUUCUCGUCGACGACGUAGUUUGCUCUCCUCCGUCCGGUGAGUUCUCUGUUUUCUCUGUCCACGGUGAAAUGGUUGUUGUAGUUUGCUUCCUCGAGCUUCUUGGUUUCAUUUCCCCGGCGAAAA